rnacentral:misc_RNA from 1 species
AGAGGACUCCGAACAGCUAACGAGGAAUGUAGAAUAUCUGCUUUCUUGAAAAACGUUUAAACUAUUUCUUACAACAGCAAUAAAUGAGUAUGGCGAUGACUUUCAGUAAUCUAAUAGGCAUCGUGUGGGUCUUUAUGACAGUUUUCCUGUUGGAUUUUACUUCCGGUAGAGGUUGCUACAAAGACCUGAAAAUCUACAUCGUAAAGCUUUCACACGAGGAUCAGCAUGGACUUAUAGUGUCUGCUAUGGAGGACUGCUACAAAAAAAUCCAGGCAACGGACCCAGUGCAAAAAGGUCUCCAUUGUCCUGCCACAUUUGACGACAUCAUGUGUUGGCCGGAAACGAAGGCCGGGACAACAGCAGAACAGAACUGUCCGGAUUACGUCAACAACUUCAACACUAGAGCCAAGGCCAGCCGACGUUGUAUGGAGGACGGCGAGUGGUACAUUCACCCGGAAACCAAUGGUACCUAUACCGACUUCCUCCAGUGCGCGCACACCGACGCCCCACGUGAUGACCCUUUGAUAGAUCACUUACCAAACAUAGGAAGAUUAUACAUGAUUGGUUACUCAAUAUCCUUGGUCGGUCUCCUCAUAGCCGUAUUUCUGAUGCUUUGGUUCAGGAGAUUGCAUUGUCAAAGGAACGCCAUUCACAUCAAUUUAUUCGUUUCGUUCGUUUUGCGAUCCGUAAUAUGCCUGAUCAAGGAUAUCUUUCACACUCCAGAGGGCAGCACUACUGUUAUCAAUAACACAGCGACCUUGACCACCCUGGGAUCGAACUGGUCCUGUAAAUUGUUUUUCUCCGUCUUCAACUACAUCAUCGUGGCUAACUACGUGUGGAUCUUUAUUGAGGGACUCUAUCUCCAUAACCUUAUCUUUAUCACAACAUUCAAAAAGAGCAAGCGCUUCUACGUCUACAUUCUAUUUGGCUGGUGUUCGCCAUUACUCUGUGUUGUUCCCUGGGUCAUCGUACGCAGAUACCUGGAAGACACGCUGUAAGAUACACUUAAUAUUGCAUUAGAAACAACUUGGGUUUUUUUUGGAAUAUAUGUGCAUAUUAUUUAUAACGUGCAACCAAUAUUUCUACCUUUAUUCAUGAAAUACAUUCUAUAUGAAAAAAAAACACAAUGUAGCAAAAAUAAAAUUCAAUUGUGUUUUCCCAACAAUAAUUAGAGUUUUGUUGAAUAUGAAUACAUGU